CGCGCACUUUGCCUGUUCAAUGGGACAGUAUGAGUUGACUUUUGUGACGUUUGACUUUAUGACGCGACUGUGGGAGAAAUCGUGUGCGUUUGUACAUGCACGCGCACUCUCACGUCACCGAGCGUGUGCGUAUGUGUGUGCUUGUACUUUUGCGUGCAGAGGUCUGCAGAAGGCGGCUUUGAAUGCACUUCAAAGCACCUUGUCUGCAGGGCGCAAAAAGGUGUUUGAUGUGACACAUUUUGAGAAUUCAAAAUGCAGUUGUUUAUUGAAUCUCAACUCUUAUUGGUAGAAUGUUUUACUUUUUCCUCCUCCCAUUGGCUCAGUGAAUGGUCACGUUUGUAAACAACUUUAUAUGGGGUCCAACGGCUCAAAGGCCAUUUUACUCCCUGUGACUGCUGGUGAGCAGAGAUGGCGAGAAUAUUUUUUCUUGAGGAGGCAACAAAAAUGGUGUUGGAGGAGGAAUGUCCCACAGACUCAAUGGAUGAAAAGGAUGAUGUGUCACAAGACUAUGAUGAAGAUUUUGAGCCACUUGUAGGAGAGGAGGAAGAGGAUGAUGAUUAGGAUUUUGAGGAGGUUACAGCAGAAGCAGCAGAGGAGCAACAACAACAGAAUCAGGUCAGCACUCCAUGGCUUGCCAAAAACCAAGAAAUUGUGUGGUCCUCUACAAAUGAAGUUUCGAGGCACUUCAACCUGCCCCCUAUUCUAUUGCCUGGCCCAACGCUUUUUGCAAUUGCCAGGAUCAGUAGCCCCGAGACUACUGUCAAUCUGUUUUGCCCGGACGACAUUAUCCAGCAGAUUGUCUUAAAAAAAAAGCCCAAGAUUAUUUUGGACUACGAUCUGUGUAAAGCGGCAGUCGAUCACUUGGACCAGGCAUCUGCCACAUAUUCUUGCUGCUGGAGGACAUUACGAUGGCCAAUGUCCAUAUCAUAUCAUAUGCUGGAUCUGUCUCUCUUCAAUGCAUUCACCCUCUUUACUCAGGUGGACCCCGCAGUGGUGGCCACGCCACAAAGCCAGAAAUGUGGGCAAUGUGGCCUUUGCAUUAACCGACUACGGGCAUCAAACAUUAGCUGCAAAUGUGGCAUUUUCUUUAGCCAAAAACAUGGCCAAAAAGUGUGCAAAUUGUUUUUUUUUUAAAAAAAGCUCACUGGUUGUUUGUUGUUCUAGUUGAGUUGUUUGUUGUUCUAGUUCAGUAGUUUGUUGUUGUGCGUUUGAGUUAUAUAGAUUCUGUUAAUUCAAAAUUCUUCUAGUUGUUGUGACUUGUUGACUGUUAUUCUGAUGCCAGUGAAUAUUUUUAGUGGUUGAAGGUAAAAAAAAAAAACAAUAUUCAGAAAUGACUUAGUUGUCACACUUCCAAGAGUGACUUUUGGCUCCAAUACGGCAAGAGGGGUAAAAAUUUUCCAUUUCAUUUUCAGAUGUCACAAGUAAAAAAAUAUUCAGAAAUGACUUAGUUACACACCCUCAAGAGGGCGCAAGGCUUCAUCCCCAAUACUGCGAGAGGGGUAAAAAUUUUGAAAUUGCCAUUGUCUAAAAAUGUUGAGUUCCUCAAAUAAAUUUUGAUGUUAUAAUUUAUUAACAUAUUCAAAGCUCUAAUGACCAGAUAUCAAAUAUUCCUACUUGGAUUUGUUUUUAUAUAUUACAUACAACAUUGUUAGUUUUGUUCAUAGCACACUAUUGCUUUUAUUGUCCAUAGAGGGCAUCCAAAAUAAAUAAAUAAAUAAAAACUAUAUACGUAUGGAUAGGUCUGAUGCUAGUGAACAUUUUGAGAUGUCGCAAGUAAAAAAAUAUUUAGAAAUGACUUGGUUAUCACACCCUCAAGAGGGCGCCAGACUUCAUCCCCAAUACUGCGAGAGGGGUAAAAAUGUUAAAAUUGCCAUUAUAAAAAAAUGUUGAGUUCCAAAAAAAAUUUGAUGUUAUAACUUAUGAACAUAUUCAAGCCUCUAAUUAUCUGAUAUCAAAUAUUCCUACUUGGAUGUGUUUUUAUAUAUUACAUACAACAUCGUUAGUUUUGUUCAUAGCACACUAUUGCUUUUAUUGUCCACAGAGGGCAUUCAGAAUAAAUAAAUAAAUAAAAACUAUACACGUAUGGAUAGGUCUGAUGCUAGUGAACAUUUUGAGAUGUUGCAAGUAAAAAAAUAUUUAGAAAUGACUUAGUUAUCACACCCUCAAGAGGGCGCCAGACUUCAUCCCCAAUACUGCGAGAGGGGUAAAAAUUUUGAAAUUGCCAUAGUAAAAAAAUUUUGAGUUCCCCCAAAAAAAUGAUGUUAUAAUUUAUGAACAUAUUCAAGCCUCUAAUGACCUGAUAUCAAAUAUUCCUACUUGGAUUUGUUUUUAUAUAUUACAUACAACAUUGUUAGUUUUGUUCAUAGCACACUAUUGCUUUUAUUGUCCAUAGAGGGCAUCCAAAAUAAAUAAAUAAAUAAAAACUAUAUACGUAUGGAUAGGUCUGAUGCUAGUGAACAUUUUGAGAUGUCGCAAGUAAAAAAAUAUUCAGAAAUGACUUAGUUAUCACACCCUCAAGAGGGCGCCAGACUUCAUCCCCAAUACUGCGAGAGGGGUAAAAAUGUUAAAAUUGCCAUUAUAAAAAAAUGUUGAGUUCCAAAAAAAAAUUGAUGUUAUAAUUUAUGAACAUAUUCAAGCCUCUAAUUAUCUGAUAUCAAAUAUUCCUACUUGGAUGUGUUUUUAUAUAUUACAUACAACAUUGUUAGUUUUGUUCAUAGCACACUAUUGCUUUUAUUGUCCAUAGAGGGCAUCCAAAAUAAAUAAAUAAAUAAAAACUAUAUACGUAUGGAUAGGUCUGAUGCUAAUGAACAUUUUGAGAUGUCGCAAGUAAAAAAAUAUUUAGAAAUGACUUAGUUAUCACACCCUCAAGAGGGCGCCAGACUUCAUCCCCAAUACUGCGAGAGGGGUAAAAAUUUUGAAAUUGCCAUAGUAAAAAAAUUUUGAGUUCCCCCCAAAAAAUGAUGUUAUAAUUUAUGAACAUAUUCAAGCCUCUAAUGACCUGAUAUCAAAUAUUCCUACUUGGAUUUGUUUUUAUAUAUUACAUACAACAUUGUUAGUUUUGUUCAUAGCACACUAUUGCUUUUAUUGUCCAUAGAGGGCAUCCAAAAUAAAUAAAUAAAUAAAAACUAUAUACGUAUGGAUAGGUCUGAUGCUAGUGAACAUUUUGAGAUGUCGCAAGUAAAAAAAUAUUCAGAAAUGACUUUGUUAUCACACCCUCAAGAGGGCGCCAGACUUCAUCCCCAAUACUGCGAGAGGUAUAAAAAAAAUAUACUGCACAAGGGUUAAACUGUGUGAACUUGCUAACCUGCAAAACUACUGCGGUCAGGUCAGCUUCCACAAGGAACAACGAAGUCAAGCAAGCUAUCCUUCAUUUUUGAUCAUUUUUGGCAUUAUGUGCAUUGUGGUAAUGCAAUGUGGUGGCUUCAGAGUGCAAGUCCCUUUAUUUAAAAUUUUUUUUUUAAAAUAAAUAAUUUUUUUUAAAAAAAACGGGAGCUAUCCAAGAAUACGUACACUUCAGGGGGACACUAACAUGAACUGACAUGAAAACAAAAAUCUGACAUGAAUUCACACAUUAGAAUUUCAUGAGGGUACUUCGGUUCUAGUCUUGGGGUAGUUUAGUAUGCCUCAGAUGUAGAUCGGUCCUUGAAUAUCUGAGAUUUUUUUUUUUAUUAUUACUACCUACGUAAAUAACUUUUAUAUUACAGUACUUUAUUUUGAGUCAAGGGGUGCUCCAGUGUUCCCCAGAUUUGGACUCAUUCUUGGAUAGCUGCCCGUUUUUUCUUUGUUUGUUUUUUUUUUUUUAUUAUUAACGCAGUUGCACUUCAAAAUGUUUCUUUAGUAUUUUUGAAAACAAACGUUUGAAUCAAACGUUGUAUCACCUGAACCAAUACGCAUUAAAGGGGAACUGAAGAGGUUUUCAGAUUUCGCUCUUAAGUGUUUUACUCAGUUGAAUUGUAUUAAAUGCGUCAUUCGCUCUCUGAAAAAGUCACUUAAAAAAAAAAUAAUAAUAAUUGACCGCGUAGUUUUUGAGUUAUGGCCAUAGCAACACCAUAGCAACGAGGGACGCGCCGUCCUGCCGACCCCUACCUCGUGACGUAACUUCCAGGAAGCCUCGCCACCACUCUGAACACGGAAAUAUAGCACCACGCUAUCCUCGCCAUAUAUUGCAAACAUUUUCUGGGUUUUACUCGCGGGAUUCGUCAUGCCAUCUCGAUGUGUAGCGAUAUGAAUUACUCACAGGAAGACUCGAGACUCUAGGAGUGGUCCAAAAAAAAAACUUCUCCUGCAAAGCCACGACAGCUUUGAAAACCUACAACAAUGCAACCUUGGUUUUCCAAAGACGAAGCCAAACAUAAAAAAUUAAGUGGCGGAAACCCUCAACACGAAGAAAAAAGCGUUGCAAGUCAGUUGCCACCCAGUUUCCCAAAAUCAAGAGAGAGUGGGUCGAGUCAUAUGAUGACCGAAGUGAUGCGGUGUCCAGCGAUGACGACUGAAGAGAUCCUAUGAGGCCUGCCAGAUGCUGAAUUUCUUCCGUCUGCGACAUCAGAUGACGAUGAUUUAGGAGAAAUAAAUGUAGCAAAUUUUGAUGACAUGAAAUCAUAAACUAGUCAUAUAUACAGUACACAUUUUUUAAAAGAAAAAUCAAGUUACCUUCAUAUUUUAAUGAUAAUGCAUUAUCUUUGUAUAGAGAACACUUCAUGCUACAGAAAAGAGUAAAUACAUAUUUCCCACUGCCGUUAUCAUUUUUCAAUGUUCCGCUAGUCCGUUGCUAUCCUAACUUUGUGUUGCUUACUGAAAUUAUGCUCUUUGAUGUGUGCCGUUGUGUGCUUGGUAUAACAUGUUGUGUCACAAUCUGACAACGAAAGCUAAUGCUGAUUCAACAUAAACCUGGUAUCAUUAUUGCGGCCUAUUGAAUAUUUUUUCAGAAUGUAAUAUAAUUACAAUAUUUUAUAUAACAAUAGAAUACAUUAAACAGUCAACAAAAUGUGUCAAUGUUGUUAACAAUUUAUGGUUUUAUUUUUUUUAAUGAAAUUCAUGCCCCUGUCAGUGCUUCAGCCUCUGCAAGUUUGGCUCUCACGUCUGGGAUCUCCUGAUGACACAGGCAUACUCUUGGAAGGGUAAUUACUUGAUGGUUUACAGCAACACCUGGAAAAUAAAAUGGUUUUGUCAUUUAUUUUGAAAUAUC